rnacentral:lncRNA from 1 species
GUGAGUUCCAGGAGAACUGAACAGCAUCCCUGAGAACGGCCAUUGGCCAAUCCUUCAAGAGCUGCCAGGAGGGCCGGUGUCGAAUUACUCAUCACAGAGAUGGGUGGUGGCCGCGCAGGCAUGCCCCGCAGUGAGCAAGAACCUCAGGGUUUUAACUGCAUGCGAGCAGGCGGUAAUUGUAGGCAUCUGAGCAUAAGUGCAUGGAGGUGGGGCCUGUGGGGAGCGAUGCCCCGGACAAAGCCUGCUCAGCCUGGAAGCUUCUCUAUAAACCUUCAACCCCAGCUCUGCUGAAGCUGAUAAGGAGCCCAAUGGGGAAGAGGCAUCGACUGGAAUGGCCUGUCCCCGCCCUGCUGGGAUGUUUAGCCUCUUUCUCCUUCCUCCUCUGAAGGCAGGGACUGCAGCUUGCUCUACCGGCCCCUCUGGCCAGCAGUCGGCUCAGCCUGGGGAGGGUAGGGUAGUGAGGGAUGCCUCUCCUGCCCUGGGCGUUUAGAUUCUGUCUUGUGGGAAGAAACCACCUUUCUGUCCACUGAAUCCUUGACAUUGAUGCGGACUUUCCAAGGGGAGUGGUGGCUUCACCAGCUCCGAAACGCGCCGCCCCCCCCCCCCAAGAAAGAGUUAAGCUUUCCUACCUUCUCCAGUGCCAAUGCCAGCCAACCUGAAAGAGAGGGGGAAGCAGAUGGAAGGGAACCAGCAUGAGCCCAACCACUGCCAUUUACAGAAGAAACACAGGCCCAGAGAGGUGAUGCGACCUGCCCAGGGUAACAGCCAAAGACAAGAGUGCAGGGUGCAGAGCGCCUUCCUUCUUGCUCAGUUCUCUUCUCACUGUACCACACUGCCAUUCUCCUAAGAUGACUCUCCAUCCUGACAACACCGACCGCUCCCAUCUUCCUCCCUCUGCACCCUGCCCAUACCUGGCAUCCUGGCCCUCCAGCAGGCUGCGAUAGGUGGCGAUCUCCUGCUCCAGCCGCGUCUUGAUGUCCAGCAGCGUCUUGUACUCCUGGUUCUGAGCUUCCAUCUCACAGCGGAGCUCGCUCAGCUGGGUCUCCAGGCUGCUGAUGAGCCCCUGGAUCUGCUGCAGCUGUGUGGCGUAGCGGCACUCAACCUCUGCCACCUCCCAUGUGGACAGCUCGUGGUCACUGCACACUUGGACACAGCCAUGAAUCUACAGAACAUUCCAGCCAGUAAGAACCUGGAGGGCAGCUGAGGAAGGCAUUUAACAGCUGAGAAAACUGGUCCAGGUGAGUGAAAGGAUGAAUGAGUGUGUGGUAGAGCCCAUGACAAGUUCCAGGUAUCCUAAGUUUCAGUAGUGAUUUGGCACCAAAGACAUGCUCAGACUUUGGCGAAGCAGGAGGUCCCCACACUCCGGGCUCCUGAGGCCACACUCACCAUUCUUGCAAA